rnacentral:rRNA from 1 species
UACGUAGGGUGCAAGCGUUAAUCGGAAUUACUGGGCGUAAAGCGUGCGCAGGCGGCUUUGCAAGACAGAUGUGAAAUCCCCGGGCUUAACCUGGGAACUGCAUUUGUGACUGCAUGGCUGGAGUGCGGCAGAGGGGGAUGGAAUUCCGCGUGUAGCAGUGAAAUGCGUAGAGAUCCGGCGGAACACCGGUGGUGAAGGCGGUCUCCUGGGCCGAGGGCCGACGCUGAGGCGCGAGAGCGUGGGGAGCGAACCGG